rnacentral:tRNA from 1 species
GCCGCUGUAGCUCAGCCUGGUCAGAGCGCCGGCCUUGUAAGCCCUUCUAGAGAGCCGGAUGUCGCGGGUCCGAAUCCCGCCAGCGGCU